rnacentral:rRNA from 1 species
UGGGGAAUAUUGCACAAUGGGCGCAAGCCUGAUGCAGCCAUGCCGCGUGUGUGAAGAAGGCCUUCGGGUUGUAAAGCACUUUCAGCGAGGAGGAAGGGUUCAGUGUUAAUAGCACUGUUCAUUGACGUUACUCGCAGAAGAAGCACCGGCUAACUCCGUGCCAGCAGCCGCGGUAAUACGGAGGGUGCAAGCGUUAAUCGGAAUUACUGGGCGUAAAGCGCACGCAGGCGGUUUGUUAAGUCAGAUGUGAAAUCCCCGCGCUU